GACAGAGGUGGCAAGCGUUGUUCGGAUUUACUGGGCGUAAAGAGUACGUAGGCGGGUACAUGUGUCAGGUGUGAAAUCCUAGGGCUUAACCCUAGAUCUGCAUUUGAAACUGUGUACCUAGAGGACAGGAGGGGGAAGCGGAAUUCCCGGUGUAGCGGUGAAAUGCAUAGAUAUCGGGAAGAACACCAGUAGCGAAGGCGGCUUCCUGGACUGUAUCUGACGCUGAGGUACGAAAGCGUGGGUAGCAAACAGGAUUAGAUACCCUGGUAGUCCACGCCCUAAACGAUGGAUGCCAAGUGUCGGAGGUAUUAAUCCCUUCGGUGCCGCACCUAACGGAUUAAGCAUCCCGCCUGGGGAGUACGGCCGCAAGGUUGAAACUCAAAGGAAUUGACGGGGGCCCGCACAAGCGGUGGAGCAUGUGGUUUAAUUCGACGCAACGCGAAGAACCUUACCUGGGCUUGACAUAUAAGUGGUAUUGAACCGAAAGGGGAAAGACUUCGUAAGGAGAGCUUAUACAGGUGCUGCAUGGCUGUCGUCAGCUCGUGCCGUGAGGUGUUGGGUUAAGUCCCGCAACGAGCGCAACCCUUAUCUUCUGUCUGCCAUCAGGUAAUGCUGGGCACUCUGAAGAAACUGCCUCGGAUAACGAGGAGGAAGGUGGGGAUGACGUCAAGUCAGCAUGGCCUUUAUGUCCAGGGCUACACACGUGCUACAAUGGUCAGUACAGAGGGUCGCAAUCUCGUAAGAAGGAGCCAAUCCCAGAAAGCUGAUCUCAGUUCGGAUCGAGGUCUGCAAUUCGACCUCGUGAAGUUGGAAUCGCUAGUAAUCGCACAUCAGCACGGCGCGGUGAAUACGUUCCCGGGCCU
rnacentral:rRNA from 1 species